rnacentral:rRNA from 1 species
UACGUAGGGUGCAAGCGUUGUCCGGAAUUAUUGGGCGUAAAGAGCUCGUAGGCGGCUUGUCGCGUCGACUGUGAAAACCCGGGGCUCAACUCCGGGCCUGCAGUCGAUACGGGCUGGCUUGAGUGCGGUAGGGGAGACUGGAAUUCCUGGUGUAGCGGUGAAAUGCGCAGAUAUCAGGAGGAACACCGGUGGCGAAGGCGGGUCUCUGGGCCUUACCUGACGCUGAGGAGCGAAAGCAGGGGGAGCAAACAGG